UACGAAGGGGGCUAGCGUUGCUCGGAAUCACUGGGCGUAAAGCGCGCGUAGGCGGCUUCUUAAGUCAGGGGUGAAAUCCUGGAGCUCAACUCCAGAACUGCCUUUGAUACUGAGAGGCUCGAGUCCGGGAGAGGUGAGUGGAACUCCGAGUGUAGAGGUGAAAUUCGUAGAUAUUCGGAAGAACACCAGUGGCGAAGGCGGCUCACUGGCCCGGUACUGACGCUGAGGUGCGAAAGCGUGGGGAGCAAACAGG
rnacentral:rRNA from 1 species